rnacentral:lncRNA from 1 species
GGGUUUCCCACAGUGUAUUGUGAACACUUGGAUGAGUGGGGAAGACUGAGUGUCUCUGAGAAGAAAAGCAGUUGAGAAGCUUGGUACCUGGAAGGCAGUUUGACACAUCAGUUUAGCACUGUGAUUCCAGUUACGGCUGAAGAUUAAGACCUAAAGAGGUCAGAAGUUAAUGGUGUGGUAGUAGCCAGCGGUGUUCUCUUUGGGGUCUCUGUCCCACGGGUAGGGAAAAGGAGUGUUUCUCUGUUGCCUGUCAAUCUUGUGAAGAAAAUCUGUUUCAUUUGGCAAAUCACUCAUACUCCUCAUGAUGUUAGAUCUUGAAGAAGAAGGUAAAGGAGUUUUCUCAUUUAAUUGGUCAAGAAAGGAUUUUGACAGCUGUAAAGUAUGGAAAACUGGCAGGGAGUUUAUGGCUAGAUCUGGGUUUUAAGAAGACCAGGAACAAGGGUUACAACACAUGGAAUGUAUUUAUGAGGUAAUUCCUAGUCAUGACUAAGAGCCUGUGCUCAAAUGCCUGGGAAAGUUGAAAAAGAAAAAAGUCCUGCAAAAUAAAUCAUAUCUCUGUUUGUAGAUUUGCUGGGCUGACGCCACUCUUGGCUGUUCAUGUAUUUCUGUAGUUUUCUGUUAAAGAGCUGAUUGAUGACUUUGGCUUUUCGCUGCUUUUAUUGUUUUUAACAACACAGAAAUUCAAUCAGUUGGCUAAUUUAAUUAAGGAAUUAUUUAUUUAGAAAGAUUAUUUUCUCUUUUCCAUAUCCCCAGGAGAUCUUUCAGAUGCUCACACCCAAUUGGUCACUACAGCAGUAGUUAGAGUACAGAAAUGUUCGAUGCACACACGUGUGCAUUGGCACUUGCCCUCAGGCUUCUGUAUUGACCUAUGGGGUGUUAUCAUUACCAUGGUUCCCAUGUUUAUAUCAAGAAAAUGUGUGACAUAAAAAUCUCGUGGAAAUGUUCUUUCAGGGAGACUGAACCAAGAGUCGGUAUUCGUAUUCCCUAAUUUCUAAAAUUUAAUUGGCAUUCUUACCUAUAGGAAAUACUUCUACUUGGGGUGAAUAACUGUGGAGAGACACCCCCUCUCCCAACCAUGCAGAUUCUUACCUCACUAUUUUAUUGCAACUGCUUUAUAAGCCAAGAAAAUUCAUUAUUAUUCCACUCAGAUUGAUUUUUUUUCUUUUUAAAAAUCAUAUAUAUGUGUGUGUAUAUAUGUGUGUGUAUAUAUAUGUGUGUGUAUAUAUAUAUGUGUGUGUACAUAUGUGUGUGUGUAUAUAUAUGUGUGUGUGUAUAUAUAUAUAUAUGUGUGUGUAUAUAUAUGUGUGUGUGUAUAUAUAUAUGUGUGUGUAUAUAUGUGUGUGUAUAUAUAUGUAUGUGUGUAUAUAUAUGUAUGUGUGCAUAUAUAUAUGUGUGUGUGUAUAUAUAUGUGUGUAUAUAUAUGUGUGUGUGUAUAUAUAUGUGUGUGUGUGUGUAUAUAUGUGUGUGUAUAUAUAUGUGUGUGUAUAUAUAUAUGUGUGUGUGUAUAUAUAUGUAUGUGUGUUUAUAUAUGUGUGUGUGUAUAUAUGUGUGUGUGUAUAUAUAUAAAAACAUGACUUCAGCAUCACAUGAACCUGUACUUUGGAACGUACUCAGCUAGACAUAGCUUUAAAAAUGAUUUAUGACAGGGAAUGGAGUAGAUGUAUUUCAAAGUUGAGAGUUUCUGACAGCAAUCUGUGAACUCACUAAUCAAGUUCCACAGACUUUUUUGUUUUUUAUUUAUUACUAUUAUUAAAUAUUAUGGUUUGGGGUAUAUUGGUUCUUCAUGUAAUGGCAUUAGGAAGCGGACUUUGAUUUUGGCCCUGCAGCAUAUGUAUUCUGGGGGGUGUUCUAAUGAACACUGAAAGGAUGCUUUGCAGUUUAGAGUCUGUUCCACACUGACUUCCAUCUCUGGCUUUGCUGUUUAUGAGGUGUGAGUGGUCUCUGGUAAAUUAUUUUGUUUAUUUGGUUUUCAGUGUCCUUAUCUGAGAGAUGGGAAUAAUAAUUGUACCUUAUUCAUGAAAAAAUUCUCUGUCCUGCGCAGGGAUGUUGCUACCUGUGAGUCCGAAUCCCAUUCCAGCCCCGUGAGGGAACAGCCUGUUCAGCUCUUCAUUUUACAUUCUCGGGUCCAAUGCUUGGCAACUGCCCCAUGCACAUAUAUACAUAGUAUUUUUUAACCAUUGCUUGCCAGUUUCAGAUUGGUAUUUUCCAAAGAAAUACUUACUUAGUUCUAGGCAGAAGUGUCCUGGAUAAAGGUUAGCCCUUGCCACCAAGGCAUAUAUGUAUAGCUGUGUGCAUGUGAUAGACCUGAUGUAUAGCACAUGCUGAUUGACAUGGUGUAACAUAGACCCGAAGGCUGUUGAUGACAGAAACUUGUUCCAGCGCGUCCCGAACCACACAGCUCCUGGAACUUCCUGCACCACUCUGAGGCAGGUCAAAGCUUCUGUGUUUUGUUGUGUUGUUGUGUUAUGUCUUCCUACACACAGCUCUCUCUUGCUAAAUUUCCACAUUCUUGGUUCACAGCAUCUCUUCACUGGCACCUUCUCCUGUUUCUGUAAAACUGUGAUAAGGAGUUUAAAGAAUUUGCCAUCCAUUGUGAUAUUGUCCAUCUUUCUUAAGGUUUUAGCAAUUGAAAAUGACCUAAAUAUUAUACAAUUCUGAUUAAAAUAUGCUAACAUCUGACUACUAAGAUGUAAUUGCUGUCACAACACUGUGACUCUGGGAUUUAUUUAAUGAAUUUUCUUUCUUCCUACAAGCUUUCAAAGAUUGUCAGAAACUUGCUUAAAAUAAUAAAUUAGCAGCUUAAAUCAGAUGAACAAUUUUAUUUUCUCAUGCCAAAGGUGUUCUUUGUGAUGACUAGAAGGAAGGGCACACUAAAUCACC